AGUGAACGCUGGCGGUAUGCCUAACACAUGCAAGUCGAACGGCAGCACCGGAGCGCUUGCUCUCUGGGUGGCUAGUGGCUGACGGGUGAGGAAUACAUCGGAAUCUGCCCAGUCGUGGGGGAUAACGUAGGGAAACUUACGCUAAUACCACAUACUACCUUCGUGUGAAAGAGGGGGAUCUCAAGACCUCUCGCGAUUGGAUGAACCGAUGUCGGAUUAGCUAGUCGGCGGUGUAAUGGCGCACCAAGGCGACGAUCCGUAGCUGGCCUGAGAGGAUGAUCAGCCACCCUGGAAGUGAGAAACGGUCCAGACUCCUACGGGAGGCAGCAGUGGGGAAUAUUGGACAAUGGGGGCGAGCCUGAUCCAGCCAUACCGCGUGGGUGAAGAAGGCCUUCGGGUUGUAAAGCGCUUUUGUUGGGAAAGAAAUCUAUCAGGCUAAUACCCUGGGAGGAUGACGGUACCCAAAGAAUAAGCACCGGCUAACUUCGUG
rnacentral:rRNA from 1 species